AAUGAACGCUAGCGGUAGGCCUAACACAUGCAAGUUGAACGCAUACUUUUACAGUAUAAGUAGCAAACGGGUGAGUAACGCGUGAGAAAUCUACCUUACAAUCUGGGAUAAAAUCCCGGAUUCUUUCUAAACUAGAUGUUCCGACAAAUAGUAUAGAAUAAAAGAUUAAAUGUCGUUGUAAGAUGUGCUCGCGUAGGAUUAGGUAGUUGGUGAGGUAAAAGCUACACCAAGCCGAAGAUCCUUAGCUGGUCUGAGAGGAUGAUCAGCCACACUGGGACUGAGACACGGCCCAGACGCUUUCGAGCGGCAGCAGUGAGGAAUUUUGGACAAUGGGCGAAAGCCUGAUCCAGCCAUAUCGCAUGAGUGAAGAAGGCUCAAUUGGUUGUAAAGCUCUGAUUUGAUUGAAGAUUAUGACAUAAGAUCAAAGAAGAGUCCCGGCUAACUUCGUG
rnacentral:rRNA from 1 species